CUUCGCCUCGCCUGCCUCUCAGUUUCCCGAAACUCGUUUUCCGAAAGGAAUGUCUAUUGCAGACCCCCCUCCCCAGACUCGUUAUACAUGACCUGCUGCGCCCGAACCUGUAUCAGGACUUCGUUGUUUGCAGCAUAUGGACCUGUCGUGCAUUGCGUUGUCGGUAACUAGACGAUACGGCCUGACCGGGGGGAAUGAGCGUCGGAACUUAACCCUAAGCUUACCACUGGUUCAAGUGUUGGGCCAUAUUGCUUUGCCUCAUCUUUUACACCUGAGAAUACGCCGAUGCUGUCCUCUCACUGAAAAGUGAGCUCGGACGCGUCGCGUGCUUCUCGAUAGGUAGACUGAUGAGGUAGGGAUAUCCAGUCAUCAUUUGGUGCGCGAGAGUCAGACGCCAUGGCUUCAAGUGGUGCUCACUUGGAUGAAAAGCUUCAAUCCGAAGCGUCGUCGGCCUGGCUACUGGAAUGACAAUGCUGGCCAGCAGGAGCGGCAGCUUCAAAGACGUUCUGUCAAUACCUUUGGGAACACUCAAAUCUGGGUAUCGGCCUGCUUCCCUCGCAUAGAGGUGGAUGAGGAUAGCGAGCAGAGCCAAGAAGAGGUCACACACAGUCAGCUGUUGCAUUUCACUCAACUUUCCUCAGAGCUCUAUCUCGUCGGAAUCACUGCAUAUCAUCUGCACGUGUAGCGAGGGGCUCAUGAGUCUCAAACAGAGAUGCUCGGCUGAUAGAGACAAAUCCUGCCGAUUCUUUUGUGCCCUCGGAUCUUGCGGUCCAAUCCAUGAAGGCACGUCGAUAUAUACCAAACCAGAUGUUUCCAAACCCGAUUUGCACUUUGAAGCCGUAGCUGGGGUAACUCCCGGUCUACGCGAUGCAUACAUUGAGCCGGGGCCAGGCCCAUUAACUCCUACUUGCGAUGUUCUUUCGCAACGACGGAGGCGCCAGACACACGUUAUUGGGCCACUUGGUCCUUUAACACAUGCCUCGCCAUUUCCUUCCAAAAGAAAGAUUGUCGAGAUGAAAGCGCGGUUUUUAUGGAUGUUUUUUGUCCGCGCGUCAACGCCCUCCUUUUUGAUCUUGCGCUGGCCGCAAAACCGGGAGAGGAAUCAAAAACAAGUCCUAGUGGGUAGCGAAGAACACACAGAAGAGGUUCUCAUCUUGCGAUCAGCGUUUGUGGCCUAUCGUGCCGACUGAGUCGAGGAAGGUGCAGCACGCCUUGUAAGGCGCAAAGCAACCGGAUUUUUGGAAAUCAAGCCUCUUUGACGCCUUUGCCGUGUAAGUUGUGCGUGUUGGCAUCAGUUCUGGGACCCAUCUCGAGUUGGUGUCAGAGUUUUGUACUCGUCCGGGGCUAGUGUCAAUCACACAUUGCGUCAAAGUGCGGAGAUGAGGUCUUGAAUGAGUCUUCUCAUUAUUGGCUUAAGAGGGCAGGCCGUUUGUAUAGGUAGCCCUGGUUGUCCUCGUGCCUGCAAAGGUGGGAGGACAGCCCCCCUUCGUUGCGG
rnacentral:telomerase_RNA from 1 species